rnacentral:rRNA from 1 species
UACGUAGGGUGCAAGCGUUAAUCGGAAUUACUGGGCGUAAAGCGUGCGCAGGCGGUUUUGUAAGACUGUCGUGAAAUCCCCGGGCUUAACCUGGGAAUGGCAUUUGGGACUGCAAGGCUUGAGUUUGGCAGAGGAGACUGGAAUUCCUGGUGUAGCAGUGAAAUGCGUAGAUAUCAGGAGGAAUACCGAUGGCGAAGGCAGGUCUCUGGGCUAGAACUGACGCUCAUGCACGAAAGCGUGGGGAGCAAACAGG